rnacentral:rRNA from 1 species
ACUCCUACGGGAGGCAGCAGUGGGGAAUCUUGGACAAUGGGCGCAAGCCUGAUCCAGCAAUGCCGCGUGGGUGAAGACGGCCUGCGGGUUGUAAAGCCCUUUAGGCGGGGAGGAACGGCGGGGUGCCAAGACCACCUCGCGCUGACGUUACCCGUGGAAUAAGCACCGGCUAACUCCGUGCCAGCAGCCGCGGUAAU